CGAUGUCGGCUCAUCACAUCCUGGAGCGGCAGUACGUUCCAAGGGUUGGGCUGUUCGCCCAUUAAAGUGGUACGUGAGCUGGGUUCAGAACGUUAGUGUGAAACAGUUCGGUCCAUAUCCGGUGUAGGCGUUAGAGCAUUGAGAGGAGCGUCGGUUAGUACGAGAGGAUUGCCAACGAUAAACCAAUGGUGUACCAGUUCUUCUUCCAAGGGGAAACGCUGGGUAGCUAAGUUUGUAAUUAAUAACCGCUGAAAGCAUAUAAGUGGGAAGUAUACCUCAAGAUGAGUGCUCUAUUCCCUUUUUGGGAAGGAGACCGCGGGAAGAUAACCCGUUUGAUAGGCGUCAGGUCUAAGAUCAGCGAUGGUUUCAGCCGAGACGUACUAAAGGUCCUUAUAUUUUGAU
rnacentral:rRNA from 1 species